GCAUGGGCUGUGUCCACCAUGGCCUGGACUCCUCUUCUCCUCCUGAUCAUCUCUCACUGCACAGGUUCUCUCUCCCAGCCUGUGCUGACUCAGCCAUCCUUUCUCUCUGGAUCUCCUGGAGCUUCAGCCAGACUCACCUGCACACUUAGGAGUGACAUAAGUGUUGGUAGCAAGGAUAUAUACUGGUACCAGCAGAAGUCAGAGAGCUGCUCCCAGGUAUCUCCUGUACUACAACUCAGACUCAGAUAAGCACCAGGGCUCUGGAGUCCCCAGCCGCUUCUCUGGAUCCAAAGACGCCUCUGCCAAUGCAGGGCUCUUACUCAUCUCUGGGCUCCAGUCUGAAGACGAGGCUGACUAUUACUGUAUGAUCUGGCACAGCAGUGCUUCCCACACCUCCUUGACCAGCUCUGGGCUCCAGCCUGAGGAUGAGGCUGAUUAUCACUGUCACACAGCUGUGCCCAGACUUUAUGUCACCAAGGGCUUCAAUUCCAUGGAGAAGUGA